GUUAACCAUGGACCCAGGCCCCAUAAAAACACAAGCAAGUGAGUCCCACCACUUGUUUGAUUGAGUCCUCGUAAAAAAAUAGAUUAACCAAUUGUUUGGGUCAUCAUUCUCUUUGUACGUUCGGAUUAGUUGGGUCUCUGAGAUUCGAAAGGUUGUUUGUUGCUGACCUUAGAAGGACAUGUGAUCAUGUCACAUGAUGAUGAAUCUAGCGUUUUUGAAAAUAAUUAUAAUUAAAUUAUGCAGGAAUUUGGAUAAUAUAAAAUAAAUUUUAAUAAGAUUUUCUCACUAUAGUUUAAAAUUUCUGGAAACGUAGAGUCUGAUAAGAGAGUAAAACAUGGUGAAAGAGAGAUUGAGUGUUUAGUAAUGGUCGUAUAGAAAUAUAAAAUGAUUUAUUAAUAAUUAGCAUUUAUAUAAUAUUUGUUGUAAUUUUAGAACCUAAUUGCACAAUUAAUCUUAUUUUUCACACGUCUAACCAAGUGUGAGAAGACGCAAUUUAUGAAAAUGAAAAUAUACGGGGCUUAAGGCCCAUAGCCACCAUCGUGGCCGCCACCCUGACCUCCACCACUUCCAUACCCACCCCCAGCACCAUAACCACUUCCACUGCCGCCGCCACUAGCACCACCAUAGCCACCCAGANNNN
rnacentral:lncRNA from 1 species